UGGACAGAUUAUUGUAUUCGACUGUAUUCACGGCGUGAAACAUGGGAUUACACUGUUUUUAAACGGAAAGUGAAUCAAUUAACAUAAUAGACUUCU
rnacentral:pre_miRNA from 1 species